rnacentral:rRNA from 1 species
UACGGAAGGCAGCAGUGGGGAAUAUUGCACAAUGGGCGCAAGCCUGAUGCAGCCACGCCGCGUGUAUGAAGAAGGCCUUCGGGUUGUAAAGUACUUUCAGUCGUGAGGAAGGUGUUAAGGUUAAUAACCUUAGCAAUUGACGUUAGCGACAGAAGAAGCACCGGCUAACUCCGUGCCAGCAGCCGCGGUAAUACGGAGGGUGCGAGCGUUAAUCGGAAUUACUGGGCGUAAAGGGCACGCAGGCGGUUAAUUAAGUUGGAUGUGAAAUCCCCGGGCUUAACCUGGGAAUGGCAUUCAAGACUGGUUAGCUAGAGUCUUGUAGAGGGGGUAGAAUUCCAUGUGUAGCGGUGAAAUGCGUAGAGAUGUGGAGGAAUACCGGUGGCGAAGGCGGCCCCUGGGACAAAGACUGACGCUCAUGUGCGAAAGCGUGGGGAGCAAAC